rnacentral:lncRNA from 1 species
UGCAAAAAUCUUAUCUUUAUGUGAGCGGGGCUACUGUGUUAUUAGGAGCACAGCAGUUCUUCUGCUCCUAACUUCCUAACCAUCAAUCAAGUUUGAUAAAUGGUUAGGAUAAAAGAGAAAAGAAAAAUUGGGUGUCUCAAUUUUUCUUCUCUUUGAAUUUUUUUCUAAUUAAUUUCUUUUUUCUUUCUCAUCCUAACCGUUCAUCAAAAUUGAUUGAUGGUUAAAAAGUUAGGGGUAUAAAAACUGUUGUGCUCAUAAUAAUACAGUAAUCCUACUCAACUUCAUGUAGUAAAAUUUCUUUUAUUCUCUUUUGCUGAAUGUAGGCUAUAAACAAACCUA